rnacentral:rRNA from 1 species
CAGCCGCCGCGGGAAAACGUAGGGCGCAAGCGUUGUCCGGAAUUAUUGGGCGUAAAGAGCUCGUAGGCGGUCUGUCGCGUCUGGUGUGAAAUCCCGAGGCUCAACCUCGGGCUUGCAUCGGGUACGGGCAGACUAGAGUGCGGUAGGGGAGACUGGAAUUCCUGGUGUAGCGGUGGAAUGCGCAGAUAUCAGGAGGAACACCGAUGGCGAAGGCAGGUCUCUGGGCCGCAACUGACGCUGAGGAGCGAAAGCAUGGGGAGCGAACAGGAUUAGAUACCCCAGUAGUCCCUGUCUCUUAUAC